CAGUUACUCACAUAUGUCUUUAGAUAAUAACAUAGAGAAAAUUUUAUUAUUUUAUCAAACAAACAACAAAAAAAUAUAUUUUCUCUAUGUAUAACAAGCAGUAAAUUAUUCGAUUAGAUAGAUGGAUAGAUUAGAUUAGAGGCAUCAGUGUGAGAUAAUAUAGGUAAACCACUUAGUCAAAAUUGGAGAAAAUAUUCGUUAGGAGUUUCUGAAGCGUUGCUUAACUCAGUUGGUAACCCACAAUUUGGCCCGAAAGAACACAUUUUUUGGUUUCCACACCAAAUCUGCUCUCUGCCAAUUUAAGUUUUGGGACUUAUUAAAUGCUGCAGCAGUUUGUCAAAAUCAUCUGGUCACGACGAAAAUAAUUGAAGGAAAACGUCCAGAACUGGUUAAAGCGAGCGAAUGGGCGCGAAAAGUCGGUUAUACCCCCACCGGGUUAUGGUCGGGUGUCGCACCACAACCACUGUAUGUGGUUAAAUGCACCUGAUUUUUUAUUUUAUUAAUAAUUUAAAUAAAAUAUGCUUGUCCUUUAGAUGCCUUAUAGACGUACAUUCAUCGCAUAACCUCCGAUGGAUGUAGGAUUCUGUGACAUUUGCAUAAGAAAAUGGACGUCAAUUGGACAUCAGUCGGACAAAUUAUGAACAUCCAUUGGACAUGCAGAUGCACGAAAACCAAUGCAUUGGCAUAUGGAUGUCCAAUGGAUUCAAUAAUGUUGUUUGGGUGGUCAUUUUAAUAAUUGUAAUGUCUUCUUCAAAAUGGUGGUUUAUUUGUCGUUAAACCCCUGAAA